UAAUCCCAGGCAUCAAGGCACUGGAAAGUGCAUUUCUGGCUGGAGUGAUCACAGCAGCCCUGACAUCAUACAGCUGCUGCUUUCCAUAAUCAAUGUCGGAGCGGAGUUUAUGCACCUUAUGAGUCCCUCAUGAGAUCCCAAACCCGGAACCUGGACGGUAACAUUUCCCCCUAAUUGAUCCUUUAAUCCUGGAGUUCUACGUGAGUGUUUCCAAGAACAUCAAAGUCUACUUGUUUGAUCUCCACGCCUACCAUCUUCAUAUAAAUUUUGCUGGACUCAUCAAGGACACAAGGGAUUAGAAAGCUACAUUUAUACAAUUCAAAGGCCUCAUAUUGCAGAGAAAGUAGAAAGGAUUUGGGACCGAGGAUUACUCAACUUGGAGACUAAACACCUCAGGGAUCCUCAAUAAGCCUAUUGCUAUAAGCAAGCCAAAAACCUUAGCAUUCUUUGACAAAACACUGUUAAGACUAUCUUAAGAAACAAAGAGGAGGGAGGGCUAUCCGCAACAGCUAGAGAGUUAGCUCAGCACAGGCUGAGAGUUGUUAACAGUGCAGGCUGCUUUUGCAGAGGAACUAGGUUCAACUCCCAACACCCACAUGGCAGCUCUAAUUCCAGUCCAAGGGGAGCCAAUACUUUCUUCUGCUCAUAUAUACAUGAGCAAAAUGCUCAUACACAUAAGAUAAUUAAAUAAAUCAAAAAAUAACUAAAAAAAAAGGAACAAAGAGAAAUUUGUUCCUCCUGCAGAAGCCAAGGAUAGACUUUGCUCAUCUUCAUCCAGGUCCAAAUGAUACCACGAGAUUUGUCUUGUGUCCAUCUCACUGCUCUACAAUCUUCUGUGAUGGUGAAAUUCUCAGAUUCCUCUUGUGCCCUGAUGACAUCACAGAACACGGUAUCACAAACUGCGCCCUUCAAAUUACAAGUCUAUUUUGACCAAGACGUCUCUCCCUCCGUCCUGCCGUUUUCUUGUUCACUGUCCACGACUUGGUGUUUUCAGCUCGAGGUUGCACAUGCCACUCGAGAUUCGGUAAAGCCCUUUUCUCUGCUUCCUCUGGACAUUUUCUGUUCUUUGCAUUGUAAGGCAAAUGUCUCCCUUUCAGGGUACUCUGCCAUAACUUAGAAGCCAUCUGUCCCUGCCAGUACAGCAUGUGGAGUGGACAUCUGGCAGACUUUCUUCUCCUGUGACUUUUAUAGAGUAUCUGUCCUAGUAGACAAUGUAUUUGACAACUAAGGUUCAUAUCCUUAUUUAAUUGUCUCCAUGCCUGUGAUACAGGCAUCUUGGUACCACUUUAAAGGCUAAGUGGGAGGUUAGUGGGUGACGUGUUAUUAAAUGUCCUUGUGUGAGCUGUUAUAAGCCUGUUCAGCAUUCUCAUUUCCCUAUGUUCAAAUUCAACCUUCUUUCCUUCCUCUUGGUACUCUAGACUUCCUGCCAAUUAUACUUAUAAUCUAGCCCUUAUAAGUGAUCUUUAUAUUUCCCUCAUCUUUUAUUUAACCCCAAACAUUUCUCCACUAGCUUCCAGCUCCUUUGCUCCCAUCUCAAUUCUCACUCUAACUCCUUUCUCCCUUCCCCUUCUCCUUCCCCUUCCCCUUCCCCUUCCCCU